CUACGUGCCAGCAGCCGCGGUAAUACGUAGGGCGCGAGCGUUGUCCGGAAUUAUUGGGCGUAAAGAGCUUGUAGGCGGUUUGUCGCGUCUGCUGUGAAAGGCCGGAGCUUAACUCCGUGUAUUGCAGUGGGUACGGGCAGACUAGAGUGCAGUAGGGGAGACUGGAAUUCCUGGUGUAGCGGUGGAAUGCGCAGAUAUCGGGAGGAACACCGAUGGCGAAGGCAGGUCUCUGGGCUGUAACUGACGCUGGGAAGCGAAAGCAUGGGGAGCGAACAGGAUUAGAUACCCUGGUAGUCCAUGCCGUAAACGUUGGGCACUAGGUGUGGGGAACAUUCCACGUUUUCCGCGCCGUAGCUAACGCAUUAAGUGCCCCGCCUGGGGAGUACGGCCGCAAGGCUAAAACUCAAAGAAAUUGACGGGGGCCCGCACAAGCGGCGGAGCAUGCGGAUUAAUUCGAUGCAACGCGAAGAACCUUACCAAGGCUUGACAU
rnacentral:rRNA from 1 species